rnacentral:rRNA from 1 species
UAUACGACCGUACCGCAAACCGACACUGGUGCGCGAGAUGAGUAUUCUAAGGCGCUUGAGAGAACUCAGGAGAAGGAACUCGGCAAAUUGACACCGUAACUUCGGAAGAAGGUGUGCCCUAUUAGUGUGUAGUGAACAACGAAGCAUGAAUGGGUUGCAAAAAAUCGGUGGCUGCGACUGUUUAUUAAAAACACAGCACUCUGCAAACACGGAAGUGGACGUAUAGGGUGUGACGCCUGCCCGGUGCUGGAAGAUUAAAUGAUGGGGUGCAAGCUCUUGAUUGAAGUCCCAGUAAACGGCGGCCGUAACAAUAACGGUCCUAAGGUAGCGAAAUUCCUUGUCGGGUAAGUUCCGACCUGCACGAAUGGCGUAACGAUGGCCACACUGUCUCCUCCUGAGACUCAGCGAAGUUGAAAUGUUUGUGAUGAUGCAAUCUCCCCGCGGAAAGACGGAAAGACCCCAUGAACCUUUACUGUAGCUUCGUAUUGGACUUUGAACAGAUCUGUGUAGGAUAGGUGGGAGGCUUUGAAGCAGGGUCGCUAGAUCUUGUGGAGCCAACGUUGAAAUACCACCCUGGUGUGUUUGAGGUUCUAACCUAGGUCCAUUAUCUGGAUCGGGGACAGUGCAUGGUAGGCAGUUUGACUGGGGCGGUCUCCUCCCAAAGCGUAACGGAGGAGUUCGAAGGUACGCUAGUUACGGUCGGACAUCGUGACGAUAGUGCAAUGGCAUAAGCGUGCUUAACUGCGAGACUGACAAGUCGAGCAGAUGCGAAAGCAGGACAUAGUGAUCCGGUGGUUCUGUAUGGAAGGGCCAUCGCUCAACGGAUAAAAGGUACUCUGGGGAUAACAGGCUGAUACCGCCCAAGAGUUCAUAUCGACGGCGGUGUUUGGCACCUCGAUGUCGGCUCAUCUCAUCCUGGGGCUGUAGCCGGUCCCAAGGGUAUGGCUGUUCGCCAUUUAAAGAGGUACGUGAGCUGGGUUUAAAACGUCGUGAGACAGUUUGGUCCCUAUCUUCCGUGGGCGCUGCAGAUUUGAGGAAGCCUGCUCCUAGUACGAGAGGACCGGAGUGGACACACCUCUGGUGUAUCGGUUGUCACGCCAGUGGCAUUGCCGAGUAGCUAAGUGUGGAAGAGAUAACCGCUGAAAGCAUCUAAGCGGGAAACUCGUUUCAAGAUGAGAUCUGCCGGGGCCUUGAGCCCCCUAAAGAGUCGUUCAAGACCAGGACGUUGAUAGGUCAGGUGUGGAAGCG